UACGUAGGGUGCGAGCGUUGUCCGGAAUUAUUGGGCGUAAAGAGCUCGUAGGCGGUGUGUCACGUCGGCCGUGAAAACCUGCAGCUUAACUGUGGGCGUGCGGGCGAUACGGGCAGACUAGAGUACUGCAGGGGAGACUGGAAUUCCUGGUGUAGCGGUGGAAUGCGCAGAUAUCAGGAGGAACACCGGUGGCGAAGGCGGGUCUCUGGGCAGUAACUGACGCUGAGGAGCGAAAGCGUGGGGAGCGAACAGG
rnacentral:rRNA from 1 species